rnacentral:miRNA from 1 species
GCUGACACAUCCCUGCCAAUCUCUGGCAGACCCUCCCUCCCAGACCCUCCCACCUCCUGGACAGCAUCCAUGUUGGCAGCUUCAACAUGGAUGCUGUCCAGGAGGUGGGAGGGUCUGGGAGGGAGGGUCUGCCGGAGAUUGGCAGGGAUGUGUCAG